AUAUUUUGUGGGUAGUGUCGUUGUUGCUUCCGAGGCUUCAGCAUUCAUGAUGAACUUACUUCAGAUUGUGUGUGACCGCUGGGUACAUAUACUUGUCCCUGUGGGAUUUGUCGUUGGAUGUUAUCUAGACAGAAAGAAUGAUGAAAAGCUAAUUGCCUUCCGGAACAAGAGUCUGUUAUAUAAAAGGGAAUUAAGACCCAGUGAAGAAGUCACCAGGAAGUAAAAGUUGCUGCUGAAUUACAGAAUGUUCACAUUUUUUAAAAUAUAAGAGAAAUAAAAACACAUUCAUUACUUAAA